rnacentral:rRNA from 1 species
ACAUCCCGAUGCUAUUUCUAGAGAUAGAAAGUUACUUCGGUACAUCGGUGACAGGUGGUGCAUGGUUGUCGUCAGCUCGUGUCGUGAGAUGUUGGGUUAAGUCCCGCAACGAGCGCAACCCCUAUUGUUAGUUGCCAUCAUUCAGUUGGGCACUCUAGCGAGACUGCCGGUAAUAAACCGGAGGAAGGUGGGGAUGACGUCAAAUCAUCAUGCCCCUUAUGACCUGGGCUACACACGUGCUACAAUGGUUGGUACAACGAGUUGCGAGUCGGUGACGGCGAGCUAAUCUCUUAAAGCCAAUCUCAGUUCGGAUUGUAGGCUGCAACUCGCCUACAUGAAGUCGGAAUCGCUAGUAAUCGCGGAUCAGCACGCCCGCGGUCGAAUACGUCCCGGGCCUU